GACGAACGCUGGCGGCGUGCUUAACACAUGCAAGUCGAGCGGUAAGGCCCUUUCGGGGGUACACGAGCGGCGAACGGGUGAGUAACACGUGGGUGACCUGCCCUUAGCUCUGGGAUAAGCCUGGGAAACUGGGUCUAAUACCGGAUAUGACUCCAUAACGCAUGUUGUGGGGUGGAAAGCCUUGUGCGGCUAGGGAUGGGCCCGCGGCCUAUCAGCUUGUUGGUGGGGUGAUGGCCACCAAGGCGACGACGGGUAGCCGGCCUGAGAGGGCGACCGGCCACACUGGGACUGAGACACGGCCCAGACUCCUACGGGAGGGCAGCAGUGGGGAAUCUUGCGCAAUGGGCGAAAGCCUGACGCAGCGACGCCGCGU
rnacentral:rRNA from 1 species